UCUCUCUUCAAUCAGAGCGACUCUAUUUUAUAUAAUCUGUGCAAAAUUUUGCUUGCACAAAAAUUUCCACGGUUAAAAUAUUUUUUUCAAAAACACUGCACUGCCCCUCCUUUCCCUUCCUCCCUCCCUGAACAACUCGGACCUAAAGCCAUCAGGUGCAGCAGAGCAGGGGAGAUUCCCUUUCUGGCAAGGGGAACCACAGAGGAAUGAAGCUAGUGUCACAGCAGGGUGAGGAGGGGACCACACAGGGAGACACCCUGGCCUGGAGGUGUCAGGGCUCAACCCGACAAAUGACGAACUGAAGGCCCUUCACCAGUCCUGGAGAAUCGCUGACAGCGUCUGUCCCAGGGACCCUCCUCCCUGCAGUCACCAGGAGAGGGCACCACAGGCCAGCCCAUAGGGCAUGUCAUCUGAGGAUGGAGAAUGUCAUCAAGGAGCGAGUGAGGGUCUGGCCAGCACUGGGCCCAUGGAGAAGCCAGACCACCUGGUGGGAAGCACCACCCCAUGCCAGCCCGGACACGGGAAAGGGAGUGGCAGCGUGUUGUGCCUAGUCAUUGCCUGCAGAGGCUGGCGUCACUUCUGAUGUCAGGGAUUCAAGGGGCUUUGUUCCAGCUCCGGGCUCCAGGAAAGGGCGUCACAGGGCCCAGAGGUUACGCAACUUCCCAAGAUUGCAGUGGAAAUGACCGACUGGUAGAGCAGGGAUUUGAACCCAGGUCCCUGUGAACACCUUCUGCCCGCCGCCUGCCAGACGGUCCGGUGCCCAGCGCACGGUUUGCAGGUGGCUGUGCUCCACGAGUCACCUUUAUAAACCCACGGCUGAGAGCCGGGCCAGCCUUGGCCUGGCUUCCUUCUUUCUCAUCUUCAAAAUGCCUUUCAUUGCAAGGUCU